CAAAUGGUGGCACUUGUCUUGUGUUUAAUUCCUCCACGGCUCUCCAUGAUGCAGACGUAAAUGGAAUAUUAUGUCUUCUCACCAAUACAAUACAAAACAAAAUUAUAGUGUUGCUAGCAUUCCCCCCAUCCCAGUUGCCAUCAACCUUUUCUCUUCUCUCUCUCUCCAACAACAACGCACCACCUUGUCAACGUCCACGCCCCAGCCACUUUCCCCACCCACACCUCAAGACCCCGCUUCCCUAAGCCAAAACCCACCACCCCACCCCGAUUCUCUCUCUCUCUCUCUCUCUCUCUCUCUCUCUCUCUCUCAAAGAACAACCCAUACCCACAACCAACUCCCAGCAACAUCUCCCAAGAUCUUCCACCCGACUACACUACCCCAUGCCGUUUUUCUUUACAAGUUCUUAUUUUUUCAAACGUUAUGUUUUAAUAUUUUAAAGUUAAUUUCAAAAAGGUUUACAGGUUUUUAAAAAACCAAGAUAGACACAUGCGAUAUGUAAUGAAUUGAUCAGAGACAGCCGUACAAGUUAAAUAUGGGGGUUGAAGCAUUUGCAACCUAUACGACCGAUGGUUCGCACCUGGUGCCCCACCAACCACCAAAUGAAAGCUUCGUUUUACUGCAUAUAUCUAAUUAGCUAGCUGCUGGGUUGGGUUGGGUGCACAUGCAAAUGCGCAUAUGAUGGCAGUCUUAUAAAUACUGCCAUAAAACAAGUCCAGCUCUCCAUGCAUGAUCUUCACGAUAUGGAAGUAGCAGAAGAAAAAGUAGGAGAACGAAAGAGAAAUAUGCCAUUGCCAUCCAAAACUCAGGUAUUUCAUAGACAUAUGAUGUGUUAUGUGUACUGUAUAAUUAAUUAAUAAUAUAGUAUUGUCUCUGCGCUAGCUACAUGAUUAACUACGUACCUUUUUUUAGCAUUGAACCUAAAGAACAUACAUUAUUUGUUUCUGCAGAAAAGGAUUGGGCAGUAAUUUCAUGUGGAACACUCAUUUGAGCAAGAAUGCGUCACUAAUUUUAAUAGACGGAGGGCACCAUCUGCAGCCCCAUGAAGAAACCUCAACCACGAACCUUCAUGAGGGGCCAUCGUGGGAGACGAGAGGGCGUGUAUGGCCUUCGUCAAUCACUUAUACACUUAUACUUUCAAGCUUAAGGACGACAAUAUUAUAUAAUUUGUUUUCAUCAGAAUAUACAGGUUUUGGCGACCAAGUAUGUAUGUAUGAGUAAGAUCCCCCAGCUAGCUAUAGGGUGACUUCAUAAGCUCAUGCUAAGAACGCAUACCAAUUGAUACUUCAAUUAAAAUAGGUCAUUUUACAGAUUGUAUGAGAAGUAUUUCAUUUCCUUUUCUGGUUGUAACCAAAACAUUACAAGGGAUCGAUAUUUUUCCUAAUUUGCGCAUUACCAUUACCAUUUGAGAAUCAUCAUGAAUUAAUUUUUCAGUA
rnacentral:lncRNA from 1 species